AGGAAAUAGAUACCCCGGGUAGUCCACGCCGUAAAACGAUGAGCACUAGUUAUUGGGGGUAUUGACUCCCUCAGUGACGCAGCUAAACGCAUUAAGUGCUCCGCCUGGGGAGUACGGUCGCAAGACUAAAACUCAAACAAAUUGACGGGGGCCCGCACAAGCGGUGGAUUAUGUGGUUUAAAUUCGAAGCAACGCGCAGAACCUUACCUAGGCUUGAACUCCUACGAACCUCUUGUAAUGGAGAGGGUGUCCGCAAGGAAAAUGUAGUGAGAGGUGCUGCAUGGCUGUCGUCAGCUCGUGUUGUGAAAUGUUGGGUUAAGUCUCGCAACGAGCGCAACCCCUAUCGUCUGUUGCCAGCAUUAAGUUGGGCACUCUGACGAGACUGCCUGGGGUUAAACCAGGAGGAAGGUGGGGAUGACGUCAAGUCCUCAUGGCCCUUAUGUCUA
rnacentral:rRNA from 1 species